rnacentral:lncRNA from 1 species
CUAGAAUGCAUCACAAAUAGUUACUGUCAUACCAUACAGUUUCAGAUAACUUUCCUCAAGUAAGCUAAAUUCUGGUAGGGGAGUUAUUCUCUGCAGUUUAUUUGAUGAUCUCUACCUUGCCCUGCACCCAUUUAUGCUCUCUCUUCUAGACCUUGUUCACUGCUGUUGUCCUGGUGUUACUUUCUUCUCGCAUCUUAGGAGGAAGAGCAUCUCCAAGAUGUAAGCCACAUUCUGUGACCCACCUAUUUCCUGUUCUUUGAAUGGUGGCUUUUGAGAACAGUGCCUAAGGGCUUUCCUUGUAGAGUGAAGCACUUACCUUGCUGAACUGAAUGUAUUAUUGGAGACUGUCCUCUGUCAAAGUGAAGCUCCUGAAUCAUUAGACUUGGCUUUACAAAUCAAAGAUGCAAAGAAAUCAUACAGUGCUCUUAUUAUAGGAGACCAUCGUGUCAAUUACUAAUUCUGUUGUUCCAGAACACCAUCCAAG